AGUCGCAAGUUUUGCUCGAGGCCACAGCUCACGGUUCUGUCUGGAGACUAACGGUUUCUUGUCAGCAUUGAGGCUAAAAACUGAGCUUCAACAAAGGCAUCCAUCAAGAAAGACUUGAGCCACAUUCCAUGACAUUCCAGCCACACCAAGACUCAUAAUGCUUGGGAACAAUUUCUCUCUUCCACAAAGUGGAUGGUAAGCAUUGAGGGAAAGGUGGCCUAUGUUUUGGAUGAGCACCUGGGAUGUGCAGAUGCCUUUCUGUAUUCAUCUUCUUCAACGUUUUCAACAUUGAAUACCAGGAGACUGCCUGUGCAACACUGGAACUCAUAAAACAGUUUUUCGUGAGGAUAAACCCAAAGGAGGGAACGAAAUGCACCGCCAAAACCGGAGUGAGUCGGAGGACAGGGGAAGUUGUGAAGAGAAAGACAACAGUAAUCAACAACAGUGUUAUCCUUUCUUCGCCACCUAAUGGAGUUUGAGUGGAGAAACUCGGACUAGAGGGACUUCUGACAGAUUCCUUGACAUAAUGAAGAAUAUUCCUGGUUGUUUCAAGUCAUCAAAUGUGCCAGGUUUAUUGACUUCCAAAGAAGAUGAGAAACUUGAGUACUUACCUAC